rnacentral:rRNA from 1 species
GAUGAACGCUGGCGGCGUGCUUAACACAUGCAAGUCGAACGAAGCACUUUUAUUUGAUUUCUUCGGAAUGAAGAUUUUAGUGACUGAGUGGCGGACGGGUGAGUAACGCGUGGGUAACCUGCCUCAUACAGGGGGAUAACAGUUAGAAAUGACUGCUAAUACCGCAUAAGACCACAGUACCGCAUGGUAAAGGGGUAAAAACUCCGGUGGUAUGAGAUGGACCCGAGUCUGAUUAGGUAGUUGGUGGGGUAACGGCCUACCAAGCCGACGAUCAGUAGCCGACCUGAGAGGGUGACCGGCCACAUUGGGACUGAGACACGGCCCAAACUCCUACGGGAGGCAGCAGUGGGGAAUAUUGCACAAUGGGGGAAACCCUGAUGCAGCGACGCCGCGUGAGCGAUGAAGUAUUUCGGUAUGUAAAGCUCUAUCAGCAGGGAAGAAAAUGACGGUACCUGACUAAGAAGCACCGGCUAAAUACGUGCCAGCCGCCGCGGUAA